rnacentral:rRNA from 1 species
UACAGAGGUGGCAAGCGUUGCUCGGAAUCACUGGGCGUAAAGCGCACGUAGGCGGAUUGUUAAGUCAGGGGUGAAAUCCUGGAGCUCAACUCCAGAACUGCCUUUGAUACUGGCGAUCUUGAGUCCGGGAGAGGUGAGUGGAACUGCGAGUGUAGAGGUGAAAUUCGUAGAUAUUCGCAAGAACACCAGUGGCGAAGGCGGCUCACUGGCCCGGUACUGACGCUGAGACGCGAAAGCGUGGGGAGCGAACAGG